UGGGGAAUAUUGGACAAUGGGCGAAAGCCUGAUCCAGCCAUGCCGCGUGUGUGAAGAAGGUCUUCGGAUUGUAAAGCACUUUAAGUUGGGAGGAAGGGCAUUAACCUAAUACGUUAGUGUUUUGACGUUACCGACAGAAUAAGCACCAGCUAACUCUGUGCCAGCAGCCGCGGUAAUACAGAGGGUGCAAGCGUUAAUCGGAAUUACUGGGCGUAAAGCGCGCGUAGGUGGUUUGUUAAGUUGGAUGUGAAAUCCCCUGGCUCAACCUGGGAACUGCAUUCAAAACUGACUGACUAGAGUAUGGUAGAGGGUGGUGGAAUUUCCUGUGUAGCGGUGAAAUGCGUAGAUAUAGGAAGGAACACCAGUGGCGAAGGCGACCACCUGGACUAAUACUGACACUGAGGUGCGAAAGCGUGGGGAGCAAACA
rnacentral:rRNA from 1 species